UUAACAAGGGUCCCGUGGAUGUAAUCACUUGCAAAGCCCUGUACACACUUAAUGAAGACUGGCUGUUGUGGCAGGUUCCGGAAUUCAGUACUGUGGCAUUAAACGUCAUCUUUGAAAAAAUCCCGGAAAACGAGAGUGCAGAUGUCUGUCGGAAUAUUUCAGUCAAUGUUCUCGACUGUGACACCAUUGGCCAAGCCAAAGAAAAGAUUUUCCAAGCAUUCUUAAGCAAAAAUGGCUCUCCUUAUGGACUUCAGCUUAAUGAAAUUGGUCUUGGUAAGGCGGUGCGGGAGCUAUGUGGUCCCAGGCCCUGAUGAGUGUCCCUCCCUCCCUGCCCCCCCCUCCCUGCCCCCACCAGCUUCCGUUCAGUGACACUUACACAGCCAGGUUGUUCCUGGAGGGCAUGUCUAGGGGCCAAGAGACUGCUUUGGUCUCUCAUGGGCAUCCUGAUUCUUUGAAGGAAGCACGGUCCUUCAAAGAUGGCGUUUGUUGCUGUUGUCUUUAAAUAUUACGUCUGUAAAUCAGAUUCAUGAGAUUGCAAACCCUGAGACUGAACGGAAUCACCUUGCAUCAUGAAGUACAGAAAGGUGUCAACACAGUG
rnacentral:sRNA from 1 species